CAAUAUGCUGUUGUUUGUGAAAAAAACUGUAAAUAGUAUUUAAGGCAACGAUUGUGAAUGAGUGAGAAGUCUAAUAAAGCCACGACGAGAUACUGUAUUAGAGCGUACGAUUUGGAGGUAUUUUUGAUUAGAUAAAUUUUGUAAAGUACAAUAUAAGUUAGAUUUGAUAAUGUGUAGUAUUUCCUAAUAAAUUAAAUACUAUUAAGUGUUUAUUGUUCUUGUAAGUUAGUGUGGUAAAUAAAUAAUAUGAAGUAAG
rnacentral:misc_RNA from 1 species